rnacentral:rRNA from 1 species
GGGAAUAUUGGGCAAUGGGCGAAAGCCUGACCCAGCCACGCCGCGUGAGUGAUGAAGGCCUUCGGGUCGUAAAGCUCUGUGGGGAGGGACGAACAAACCGGGCGCUAAUCACCCCGGUCCUGACGGUACCUCCUUAGCAAGCACCGGCUAACCCUGUGCCAGCAGCCGCGGUAAUACAGGGGGUGCAAGCGUUGCUCGGAAUUAUUGGGCGUAAAGCGCGCGUAGGCGGCUACUUAAGUCGGAUGUGAAAGCCCCUGGCUCAACUGGGGAAGUGCACCCGAAACUGAGUAGCUUGAGUGCAAAAGAGGGCUGCGGAAUUCCCGGUGUAGAGGUGAAAUUCGUAGAUAUCGGGAGGAACACCGGUGGCGAAGGCGGCAGCCUGGGUUGACACUGACGCUGAGGCGCGAAAGCGUGGGGAGCAAAC